GUAGGCGGCUCGAUAAGUAUGGUGUGAAAUCUCCCGGCUUAACUGGGAGGGUGCGCUAUAGACUGCCGGGCUAGAGUGUGGGAGAGGAAAGUGGAAUUCCUGGUGUAGCGGUGAAAUGCGUAGAUAUCAGGAGGAACACCGGUGGUGUAAACGGCUUUCUGGACCAUAACUGACGCUGAGGCACGAAAGCGUGGGUAGCAAACAGGAUUAGAUACCCUGGUAGUCCACGCCCUAAACGAUGCAUAUUUGGUGUGGGUCAUUCAGUUGAUCCGUGCCGGAGCUAACGCGUUAAAUAUGCCGCCUGGGGAGUACAGUCGCAAGGCUGAAACUCAAAGGAAUUGACGGGGGCCCGCACAAGCGGUGGAGCAUGUGGUUUAAUUCGACGCAACGCGAAGAACCUUACCUGGGCUCGAAAUGCUGUGGACCAGCUUAUGAAAGUAGGCCUUCCCGCAAGGGACCGCAGUAUAGGUGCUGCAUGGCUGUCGUCAGCUCGUGUCGUGAGAUGUUGGGUUAAGUCCCGCAACGAGCGCAACCCUUGUCCUGUGUUGCCAUACCGAAAGGUGGAACUCGCAGGAGACCGCCAGGGAUAACCUGGAGGAAGGUGGGGAUGACGUCAAGUCCUCAUGGCCUUUAUGUCCAGGGCUACACACGUGCUACAAUGGACGGUACAAAGGGCUGCCAACCCGCGAGGGGGAGCCAAUCCCAAAAAACCGUUCUCAGUUCGGAUUGCAGGCUGCAACUCGCCUGCAUGAAGCUGGAAUCGCUAGUAAUGGCGGAUCAGAACGCCGCCGUGAAUACGUUCCCGGGCCUUGUACACACCGCCCGUCACAUCACGAAAGUGGGUUGUACUAGAAG
rnacentral:rRNA from 1 species